rnacentral:rRNA from 1 species
AACGAACGCUGGCGGCAGGCCUAACACAUGCAAGUCGAACGCUCGUAGCAAUACGAGAGUGGCAGACGGGUGAGUAACACGUGGGAACCUUCCCUAUGGUUCGGAAUAGCUCAGGGAAACUUGAGGUAAUACCGGAUAAGCCCUUACGGGGAAAGAUUUAUCGCCGGAGGAUUGGCCCGCGUCUGAUUAGCUUGUUGGUGAGGUAAUGGCUCACCAAGGCGACGAUCAGUAGCUGGUCUGAGAGGAUGAUCAGCCACAUUGGGACUGAGACACGGCCCAAACUCCUACGGGAGGCAGCAGUGGGGAAUAUUGGACAAAUGGGCGAAAGCCUGAUCCAGCCACGCCGCGUGAGUG